rnacentral:rRNA from 1 species
GACGAACGCUGGCGGCGUGCCUAAUACAUGCAAGUAGAACGCUGAAGGGAGAGCUUGCUCUUCUGGAUGAGUUGCGAACGGGUGAGUAACGCGUAGGUAACCUGCCUGGUAGCGGGGGAUAACUAUUGGAAACGAUAGCUAAUACCGCAUAACAUUGACUAUUGCAUGAUAGUCAAUUGAAAGGUGCAAAUGCAUCACUACCAGAUGGACCUGCGUUGUAUUAGCUAGUUGGUGGGGUAACGGCUCACCAAGGCUACGAUACAUAGCCGACCUGAGAGGGUGAUCGGCCACACUGGGACUGAGACACGGCCCAGACUCCUACGGGAGGCAGCAGUAGGGAAUCUUCGGCAAUGGACGAAAGUCUGACCGAGCAACGCCGCGUGAGUGAAGAAGGUUUUCGGAUCGUAAAGCUCUGUUGUAAGUCAAGAACGUGUGUGAGAGUGGAAAGUUCACACAGUGACGGUAGCUUACCAGAAAGGACGGC